ensembl:lncRNA
UGAGCUAGUAGAGGUAUGUGGUGAAGUGAGCUAGUAGAGGUAGGUGGUGAAGUGAGCUAGUAAAGGUAGGUGGUGAAGUGAGCUAGUAGAGGUAGGUGGUGAAGUGAGCUAGUAGAGGUAGGUGGUGAAGUGAGCUAGUAGAGGUAGGUGGUGAAGUGAGCUAGUAGAGGUAGGUGCUGAAGUGAGCAAGCUAGCCUGUAUCAAUAGAAGCAAGUCGUCCUUCGCAGCGUCACUUCGCAGUUCCAGAUGUUGCCGGUGGUUUCUCAUCUGCAAUCACGCCGUUAGUUUCACGUGUGCGCUGUUCCGUCACACGCUGAGCUUCAGGUCGGCAAACUAAAGUUAACGAACACGUCCGCUCUGCUCAAUCACCUAAAAACGAUAAAACGGAGGCGGAGGCCGGACUUACUUUAACGUCUAUGAAAAGGGUCCACGCGCCCACAGGUGUUAGAAAGACUUGUUAGCUUCAGGCUAGCUCCUCCUGUUCACCGCCGUCCAGACAGCGUUAGCUUAGCAACAACUACCAACAACGCCAACUGCCACCGGCGGUGUCAAAGACCCCCCCAACAAUAAAACACGGAGCCGGUAUCCGCUUAUCAGAAUGUAUUCAUACGUACCCCGUCACGUGAACUGUGCCGAACAUGACGUCCCGUCGGUGGGUCGAAGGUGGCGGUUCUUGCGUCGGGGUGAAGUAACGUUAGCUAAGUUAGCUGAAAACUCCGAUUGAUACGUCACGACCAAAGAUCGUUUGCUGAGACGAGAGACACUCUCCGCCUCACUUCCUGGUUUGCUUCUAAACCGACAGCAAUUACAUUCAGCAGAAUGGUUUAAUGCGUAUUUACGCGAUGACAUUGGGUGAAAGGGAUCGGAAUAAAAUAUUAAAAAACAAAGAAAUAAACAUUGAAGUGUAUCAUGUUUAUUAUAUAGUCAGGCAGUACUUGGAUUGGUAGAUGGAUCACUUGAAUUCACAAACUACUGCUUCUACAAUGACAUUCAGCCACUAAUGUUUUUUUCAGCGUGGUUAUUUUAGCUUCGUCAACAAUAUCACUUUCUGGAAAAUAUUAAAUUACAAAAACAAAUGCAAUCGUGAAAUAAUAGGAGUGCAAAACUGGACUGGCCCAGAGGCUAUUUUUUGACUAGGGGGUUAUAUUAUUAAAGGAUAAUAAAAAAUAAUAAUGUUUAAUAGAAAAAGGAGUUGGUGGUGAUAAGUAGAAUAUGCCGUUCCAUUUAGUCCAAGAAUCAUAAAGUUGCAUUUAAUGUCCUUUAGUUAUUAAAAGAUAAGUUUAAUUAACAAAUUGUUCUCGGGGUAAAAUAUUUGCGUUGGCAGAUGUUGACACAUGUAGGCCUAAAAUAUGCCUUCGAUUACACAAAUCAAUCCCUGCCUUUUAAAUGAGCGAUGAAUCCCCAAACUAUGUAAUUAAGUAAAGCAAAAAGUUGUUUCUGUCUCGGUGUUACUUGUUUCUUUGCAUUCUGUGUCCCACAACCCACCACAAUGCAAGUCAGCAUUAGACCGUUGUUGUGAGAAUUGAGGAAAUCCUUCAGCCUCCUUCGGGUCCUCGCUGAGGAGCAGUCAGCAUGUGGACCACACGUCUCCUCAACAUCUCCCCACUAGAGGUCUCCCUGGAGGGAAGACCAACAGCUUUACUCUCCUUGUUUCGCAUUCUCCCUUGUGGUGUCUCUGUUCCUGUUUUCAUUGCUCUUCUCUCUUACUUCCCUUUCCCCGCCCGGUCCUUCUUAUCAUUCUCCUUCUUCCUAAUAGCCUUUCCUCUCCUCCGCC